CUUGAAUAAUGAAUAAGGCUACGUCCACACGUACCAGCGUAUUUUUGAAAACGCUGAUUUUUCUAUGCGUUUGCACCUUUUGUCCACACGUAAUUUAUGUCUGGCCGUACAUUGUGUUUGUAUUUCCAGGCACAUUUCACGAAGCAGAACGCAGUCUUCAGAGAUAUCCACGUGAACGCUGUGAUACGUCUGACCUUCAGUCCGAAGAAGAAACCCAGACCAGUCUUAAAAGAAAGCACAAACCAAAUCCCCUGUACACAUAUACGGACUCAGAGGAUGAGCAACCUACAAAAAAACGGUUUCCCCAGGCCCCUCGAGUGAAAAUACCAGCCCUCAUCACUCCAGUCUGCCCCCCAGCCCACUGAUAGCAACCAUCAUAAUGCCCCACCCAGCUUCCGGCACCUUUCGCCACUCCGGCACAAGCCGACACAGCUUUGCUAUCUCGCCAGCAUGCAGAGUCUGAUGUCUUCCCUAUAGAUGGUGAGACGCUUUGCGUUGAUUGGUGCUGCUGGACCACACUGGAGGUGCGAGUCCGCCGUGUAAUGGUUUAUGCCAUUACAAAGGAGCUGGCCUCUGUACUCAACUGGGCAGGGGAAAAAACCAAGGACCAGACAAAGCAAAAAAGGGCAUUUAAAGAGACAGCGCUGUGCAGAUGCAUAUUUGAUGGCCUGGCGCAGCAGGUAGGGGCGAACUCUAUGUCUGAGUUGGUCUUUGCUCAAGCAGUCCAGAAAUGGCUCAGAUAUGCUCCAGAUCGUACGGGUGGCGCGCAGGACGCACAUCAUCCAUCCCCAUCCCGGAGUAAAUAAUAAAAAGUGACGUGAAACAUAGAAAUGUAAAUAGGAAACUUUGUCUUUUAAUAAAGUAUUUUGCAAAUGAUACAUGUCUAUUGACCUUUUUUGUUUUUUU
ensembl:lncRNA